GAUGAACGCUGGCGGCGUGCCUAAUACAUGCGAGUCGAGCGAACAGACGAGGAGCUUUCUCCUCUGCGGUUAGCGGCGGACGGGUGAGUAACACGUGGAUAACCUACUUAUAAGACUGGGAGAACUUCGGGAAACAGGAGCUAAUACUGGCUAAUAUAUUGAACCGCAUGGUUCAAUAGUGAAAGACGGCUUUGCUGUCACUUAUAGAUGGAUCCGCGCCGCAUUAGCUAGUUGGUAAGGUAACGGCUUACCAAGGCGACGAUGCGUAGCCGACCUGAGAGGGUGAUCGGCCACACUGGAACUGAGACACGGUCCAGACUCCUACGGGAGGCAGCAGUAGGGAAUCUUCCGCAAUGGGCGAAAGCCUGACGGAGCAACGCCGCGUGAGUGAUGAAGGUCUUCGGAUCGUAAAACUCUGUUAUUAGGGAAGAACAAAUGUGUAAGUAACUAUGCACGUCUUGACGGUACCUAAUCAGAAAGCCACGGCUAACUACGUG
rnacentral:rRNA from 1 species